AACGAACGCUGGCGGCAUGCCUAACACAUGCAAGUCGAACGAGACCUUCGGGUCUAUUGGCGCACGGGUGCGUAACGCGUGGGAACCUGCCCUUAGGUUCGGAAUAACUCCCCGAAAGGGGUGCUAAUACCGGAUAAUGUCUUCGGACCAAAGAUUUAUCGCCUUUGGAUGGGCCCGCGUUGGAUUAGCUAGUUGGUAGGGUAAAAGCCUACCAAGGCGACGAUCCAUAGCUGGUCUGAGAGGAUGAUCAGCCACACUGGGACUGAGACACGGCCCAGACUCCUACGGGAAGCAGCAGUGGGGAAUAUUGGACGAUGGGCGAAAGCCUGAUCCAGCAAUGCCGCGUGAGUGAUGAAGGCCUUAGGGUUGUAAAGCUCUUUUACCCGGGAUGAUAAUGACAGUACCGGGAGAAUAAGCUCCGGCUAACUCCGUG
rnacentral:rRNA from 1 species